GACGAACGCUGGCGGCGUGCCUAAUACAUGCAAGUCGAGCGCAGGAAACUGACGGAACUCUUCGGAGGGAAGGCAGCGGAAUGAGCGGCGGACGGGUGAGUAACACGUAAGGCACCUGCCUCAAGGAUUGGGAUAACUCCGAGAAAUCGGAGCUAAUACCGGAUAGUUCAACGGACCGCAUGGUCCGCUGAUGAAAGGCGCUCCGGCGUCACCUUGAGAUGGCCUUGCGGUGCAUUAGCUAGUUGGUGGGGUAACGGCCCACCAAGGCGACGAUGCAUAGCCGACCUGAGAGGGUGAUCGGCCACACUGGGACUGAGACACGGCCCAGACUCCUACGGGAGGCAGCAGUAGGGAAUCUUCCACAAUGGACGAAAGUCUGAUGGAGCAACGCCGCGUGAGUGAUGAAGGUUUUCGGAUCGUAAAACUCUGUUGUAAGGGAAGAACACGUACGAGAGGAAAUGCUCGUACCUUGACGGUACCUUACGAGAAAGCCACGGCUAACUACGUGCCAGCCGCCGCCGUAACAC
rnacentral:rRNA from 1 species